rnacentral:lncRNA from 1 species
UCUGUCUCGAUUCUGUUCAAUGAAGCUUUAAGAAAUUUAGCAAAAGAUGACAGGAGAAAAAUAUGAGCCAAAUACUCUUAUGCAUAUUUAUGUUUAUUUAAGAUCUUAUAUAGUUGAGAUAUGUAUGCAUAUUUUUAGGAGUAUAAACAGAGAAAGUGGACAUACUAUAUCUUGAUCCUCCAACAAUGGGUGAUCAUUUCUGAUGGCCAGGAAUAAAGAGGUUAACACACAGCUCUGAUCUCAGUGUGGGCUGGUUUGCCCCACUCUGACUAUAGCCCAUUUGUGUCAUUGGUACAGCCUGGAUGGAUGCAUACAAACUCAGGUGCAUUGCAGCAAGGAUAACACUUAAUUAGUAUGGAUUAUAUGCAUUUAUUUUAUUCUCCUUCCUUUUGUAUACAAUGCUCAAUGCUAGGAGGACCCAACACUUAGCUGUUGUUCCAGGAAGUUCUAUUCUCUUAAUCACUUCAAGAUGGUGGGAUACAUCAAAUUCAGAGCAAAGGUUUUCUCUGUGUGCUCGUGGUUGCACCAUUUUUCUUAGGGCCAGUAGUUUCUAGCCAUUGCCCACAUGAUUCCCAAUGCUCAUGUUGUCAGCAGUAACUGGAUGUGUUAGAACUGCACGGAGUAGAAGGUUCAUG